CAAAUUAAUUCUAAAAGUUAGUAUUUUCAUUUACAUUGAAAUUUUUAUUGUGCAAUUCAAUAUAAUUUGA
rnacentral:tRNA from 1 species